GUGCUUGCUUCAGCAGUACAUAUAAUAAAAUUGGAAUGACACAGAGGUUAGCUUGGCCCCUGAGCAAGGAUGACAGCUGAAGUUGUGAAGUGUUCCAUAUUUGA
ensembl:snRNA U6 U6 spliceosomal RNA